rnacentral:rRNA from 1 species
UACAGAGGUCCCAAGCGUUGUUCGGAUUCAUUGGGCGUAAAGGGUGCGUAGGCGGCGCGGUAAGUCGGGUGUGAAAUCUCGGAGCUUAACUCCGAAACUGCAUUCGAUACUGCCGUGCUUGGGGACUGGAGAGGAGACUGGAAUUUACGGUGUAGCGGUGAAAUGCGUAGAUAUCGUAAGGAAGACCAGUGGCGAAGGCGGGUCUCUGGACAGUUCCUGACGCUGAGGCACGAAGGCCAGGGGAGCAAACGGG